rfam:Triticum aestivum genome assembly, contig: Triticum_aestivum_CS42_TGACv1_scaffold_197324_3AL
GUUCUACUCCCUCCGUUCCAAAUUACUCGUCGCAGAAAUGGAUGUAUCUAGAACUAAAAUACAUCUAGAUACAUUAAUACCCACGACAAGUAAUUCAGAACGGAGGGAGUACUUU